UUCAGGAUGAACGCUAGCUACAGGCUUAACACAUGCAAGUCGAGGGGCAGCAUGGUCUUAGCUUGCUAAGGCCGAUGGCGACCGGCGCACGGGUGAGUAACGCGUAUCCAACCUGCCUUACACUCUUGGACAGCCUUCUGAAAGGGAGAUUAAUACAAGAUGUUAUCAUGAGUAAGCAUUUUCGCAUGAUUAAAGGUUUACCGGUGUAAGAUGGGGAUGCGUUCCAUUAGAUAGUAGGCGGGGUAACGGCCCACCUAGUCUUCGAUGGAUAGGGGUUCUGAGAGGAAGGUCCCCCACAUUGGAACUGAGACACGGUCCAAACUCCUACGGGAGGCAGCAGUGAGGAAUAUUGGUCAAUGGACGAGAGUCUGAACCAGCCAAGUAGCGUGAAGGAUGAAGGUUCUAUGGAUUGUAAACUUCUUUUAUACGGGAAUAAACGGAUCCACGUGUGGAUUUUUGCAUGUACCGUAUGAAUAAGGAUCGGCUAACUCCGUGCCAGCAGCCGCGGUAAUACGGAGGAUCCGAGCGUUAUCCGGAUUUAUUGGGUUUAAAGGGAGCGUAGAUGGGUUGUUAAGUCAGUUGUGAAAGUUUGCGGCUCAACCGUAAAAUUGCAAUUGAUACUGGCAGUCUUGAGUACAGUUGAGGUAGGCGGAAUUCGUGGUGUAGCGGUGAAAUGCUUAGAUAUCACGAAGAACUCCGAUUGCGAAGGCAGCUUACUAACCUGUAACUGACAUUGAUGCUCGAAAGUGUGGGUAUCAAACAGGAUUAGAUACCCUGGUAGUCCACACGGUAAACGAUGAAUACUCGCUGUAGGCGAUAUACAGUCUGCGGCCAAGCGAAAGCAUUAAGUAUUCCACCUGGGGAGUACGCCGGCAACGGUGAAACUCAAAGGAAUUGACGGGGGCCCGCACAAGCGGAGGAACAUGUGGUUUAAUUCGAUGAUACGCGAGGAACCUUACCCGGGCUUAAAUUGCAACCGAAUAUGGCGGAAACGCUAUAGCUAGCAAUAGCGGUUGUGAAGGUGCUGCAUGGUUGUCGUCAGCUCGUGCCGUGAGGUGUCGGCUUAAGUGCCAUAACGAGCGCAACCCUUGCCGAUAGUUACUAACAGGUUAUGCUGAGGACUCUGUCGGGACUGCCAUCGUAAGAUGUGAGGAAGGUGGGGAUGACGUCAAAUCAGCACGGCCCUUACGUCCGGGGCUACACACGUGUUACAAUGGGGGGUACAGAGGGCUGCUACCACGCAAGUGGAUGCCAAUCCCAAAAACCUCUCUCAGUUCGGAUUGAAGUCUGCAACCCGACUUCAUGAAGCUGGAUUCGCUAGUAAUCGCGCAUCAGCCACGGCGCGGUGAAUACGUUCCCGGGCCUUGUACACACCGCCCGUCAAGCCAUGGGAGCCGGGGGUACCUGAAGUGCGUAACCGCAAGGAGCGCCCUAGGG
rnacentral:rRNA from 1 species